rnacentral:rRNA from 1 species
CACGUAGGGCGCGAGCGUUGUCCGGAAUUAUUGGGCGUAAAGAGCUCGUAGGCGGCCUGUUGCGUCCGCUGUGAAAGCCCGGGGCUUAACCCCGGGUCUGCAGUGGAUACGGGCAGGCUAGAGGUAGGUAGGGGAGAAUGGAAUUCCCGGUGUAGCGGUGAAAUGCGCAGAUAUCGGGAGGAACACCGGUGGCGAAGGCGGUUCUCUGGGCCUUACCUGACGCUGAUGCACGAAAGCUGGGGGAGCAAACAGG